GGGUGGGAUCCGGCCGCUGUUCUGUAACGUCAGGUUACAGCGACAGGGUAUUUUGUCCAACGGCAUGGAUUUCACCUUCAGUACCAGUACCCCCAUGUCAACAGUGAAGGUCAACAGACAGCCUUAUAAAAUGAGAAAACAUGCGCCCAGUGUCCCAGCCUCCCCCCUCCCGAGGGUGUGAGCUAUGAGACCACACUUGGCUUCCCCAGGCGCCCCUCCCUCCCGCGCCCAGCGCACACAAUGACCCCCUUAUGCACUGCCCGCCAGCCUGCCUGGGAAGGACACUUGGUGUGCGCAGAGUUUUACUACAGUACUACUGUACGUGGUAAUAAUUAACUCGAAAUGGCAUUUACGACGCUGAGAUGUGAUGUGUGCUGCUUUCCCUCAUCCCUCCAGCAAACAGGACGUACUGACUCUGAACAGGCCUUCGGUCUUCAGAUGUAGUGACUUGGCCAAGGUCACAGAGAAAAUGGGUAACAGAUCUCCUGCUUCUCACCUGCAGCUUUUGCUAUGUGCUCAGCAGCUAGUGACUAGACCAUCCCUCAGCAGGCAGCAGCAACAUCUAGAAAUCUAGAUUCCUGAGGACGUGACAUCAGUGAUUGAGCUCAGACCCUGUGCUAUGCCCAUUAUCUACAUCAGCUCGUUUUUUUUUUUUUAAUUUAAAAGCUAAUGAUACUAUCAGCGAUAGCCAAAUUAUGGAAAGAGCCCAAAUGCACAUCAACUGAUGAAUGGAUAAAGAAGAUGCGGUAUAGAUAUACAAUGGAAUAUUACUCGGCGAUCAAAAACAAUGAAAUCUUGCCAUUUGCAACUAUGUGGAUGGAACUAGAGUGUGUUAUGCUAAGCGAAAUAAGUCAAAGAAAGACAAAUAUCAUACGAUUUCACUCAUGAUUGGAAUUUAAGAAACAAAACAGAUGAACAUAGGGGAAGGGAAGCAAAAAGAAGAUCAAAACAGAGAGGGAGACAAACCAUAAGAGACUCUUAAAUACAGAGCACAACUUGAGGGUUGCUGGAGGGGUGUUGGCUGGGGGGACGGGGUAAAUGGGUGACGGGCAUUAAGGAGGCCCUUGUGGGGAUGAGCACUGGGUGUUCUAUGUAAGUGAUGAAUCACUAAAUUCUAUUCCUGAAAUCAUUAUUACACUAUAUGUUAACUAACUUGGAUUUUAAUUUUAAAAAAUAAAAAUAAAAAGCUACUGAUAGGUUGGGGUGCCCAUGUGGCUGAG